GACGGGUGAGUAACACGUGGAUAACCUACCUAUAAGACUGGGAUAACUUCGGGAAACCGGAGCUAAUACCGGAUAAUAUAUUGAACCGCAUGGUUCAAUAGUGAAAGACGGUUUUGCUGUCCUUAUAAUGGAUCCGCGCCGCAUUACUAGUUGGUAAGUACGGCUUACCAAGGCAACGAUGCGUAGCCGACCUGAGAGGGUGAUCGGCCACACUGGAACUGAGACACGGUCCAGACUCCUACGGGAGGCAGCAGUAGGGAAUCUUCCGCAAUGGGCGAAAGCCUGACGGAGCAACGCCGCGUGAGUGAUGAAGGUCUUCGGAUCGUAAAACUCUGUUAUUAGGGAAGAACAAAUGUGUAAGUAACUAUGCACGUCUUGACGGUACCUAAUCAGAAAGCCACGGCUAACUACGUGCCAGCAGCCGCGGUAAUACGUAGGUGGCAAGCGUUAUCCGGAAUUAUUGGGCGUAAAGCGCGCGUAGGCGGUUUUUUAAGUCUGAUGUGAAAGCCCACGGCUCAACCGUGGAGGGUCAUUGGAAACUGGAAAACUUGAGUGCAGAAGAGGAAAGUGGAAUUCCAUGUGUAGCGGUGAAAUGCGCAGAGAUAUGGAGGAACACCAGUGGCGAAGGC
rnacentral:rRNA from 1 species